CCUACGGGUGGCAGCAGUGGGGAAUAUUGCACAAUGGGGGCAACCCUGAUGCAGCAACGCCGCGUGAAGGAAGAAGGUUUUCGGAUUGUAAACUUCUGUUCUUAGUGAAGAAUAAUGACGGUAGCUAACGAGCAAGCCACGGCUAACUACGUGCCAGCAGCCGCGGCAAUACGUAGGUGGCAAGCGUUGUCCGGAAUUACUGGGCGUAAAGUGAGCGCAGGCGGGAAGCCAAGUCAGCUGUGAAAACUACGGGCUUAACUUGUAGACUGCAGUUGAAACUGGUUUUCUUGAGUGAAGUAGAGGUGGGCGGAAUUCCGGGUGUAGCGGUGAAAUGCGUAGAGAUCUGGAGGAACACCGGUGGCGAAGGCGGCCAACUGGGCGUUAACUGACGCUGAGGUGCGAAAGUGUGGGGAGCAAACAGGAUUAGAUACCCUAGUAGUC
rnacentral:rRNA from 1 species